rnacentral:rRNA from 1 species
AUUGAACGCUGGCGGCAGGCCUAACACAUGCAAGUCGAGCGAGCGGCGGACGGGUGAGUAAUGUAUGGGGACUGCCCGAUAGAGGGGGAUAACUACUGGAAACGGUGGCUAAUACCGCAUACUAUCGGAUAACCCAUAUGGGAUUAGCCAGUAGGUGGGGUAAAGGCUCGCCUAGGCGACGAUCUCUAGCUGGUCCGAGAGGAUGAUGAGCAACACGGGGACUGCGAAAGGGCCAAGCCUCCUACGGGGGCAGCAGUGGGGAAUAUGGCACAAUGGGCGAAAGUCUGAUGAAGCCAGGCCGGGUAUAGUAGAAAGGCCUUAGGGUUGUAAAGUACUUUCAGCGGGGAGGCUUUACCCGCAGAAGAAGCACAGUCUAACUCCGUGCCAGCAGCCUCGGGAAUAC